UGGAAAAAAGGCCUGGAAAAGCACCACUCCUGUCCAUGAAGCCCCCAUAUGGAACCAGCUGCUUCCAGGAGCCACUUCUUUUGAGAUGAGACACUCUCCUGCCUGCCUGUUCCCAUUUGGCUGCAAUAGACCAUUGACAACAUUCAGAGAACAAGAAGGGGCCUCACCUGUUUUCCCUGACACGUCAGAGGCAGGUCCUGUUCAGAAACCCCAUCUGUGCCUUUGGAGGGACUGCCCUGCGCACACAGGCCCAGUAACCACCAUCUACGGCCCCCAGGACCUAAUCCCCUUCUACAUAGGGUUCAGUGCAUGUCACAGGUCCAGCAACCACCAUCUACGGCCCCCAGGACCUAAUCCCCUUCUACUUGGGGUUCAGUGCAUGUUAGCAGACACUGGGCUCGAUUCCUGCCUAGUCCCUGCCAGAUACCCCAUGCCCACCUCGUGAAGAGAAUGAGGCCACACAAACACACCCAGACCGUCAUGGUGAUGGAGUGCCUGGGGUCCCACUUGCCCACCCUUCAUUGCUGGUUCAGAGCCAGCUGUCUGACCACAUUCCUACUCCAAGAUGGGACUUUGGAGACAUUGUCCACCAGGGUCGCUGACCCCUUUUAACGUUCCAGAAACAUGGCCAGCUGGUCCCCUAGAAGUUUGGUACAUGGGAUAAGCCAAGGCUUGCCUUCAGGAACAGGUUUUCCACCACGUCGCUGCCCAAGGCCCAGGGCAUCCCCAAGUUCACGUGAAGCCUGCCUGCCAUGUCCACAGCCCAUGCUGAGCCCUCCUGGAGCCACUGGAAUGCUUGUUCCUGGGCAUGUGAUGAACCCAGACAGCUUCUGCCUUGCAGGACAACUGUGUGCAUCUGGCAGCAGUAGCCGGAGGGCCCAUGGAAAGAAGAUGGAGGUGAAACCAGAUGCUGUGAGAAUACUUUAUUAGUCAAAACUGCACACUAUAAAAGUGCUUUAAAAUGCAGCAGCAGGAGAUGUGAAGACACAAAUGAACAAGUGCGUAGUGACACAUAGCUGUCACAACACAGUGAAGAAUACACACUGCCUCCCCCGCUUUACCUAGAAAAGGAGAGUUCUAGGCCACCUCCUCCUCAGCAUACUCCUCAUCCUCCUCCUCCUUGGCCGUGGCAUCCUGAUAUUGCUGAUAUUCAGACACCAGGUCA
rnacentral:lncRNA from 10 species